rnacentral:rRNA from 1 species
UGGGGAAUAUUGGGCAAUGGGCGAAAGCCUGACCCAGCAACGCCGCGUGAGGGAAGAAGGCUUUCGGGUUGUAAACCUCUGUCGCAGGGGACGAAAGAAAUGACGGUACCCUGUGAGGAAGCCCCGGCUAACUACGUGCCAGCAGCCGCGGUAAUACGUAGGGGGCGAGCGUUGUCCGGAAUUACUGGGCGUAAAGGGUGCGUAGGCGGCGAAUUAAGUUGGAUGUGAAAUCCCCGGGCUUAACCUGGGUGGUGCAUCCAAAACUGAUUAGCUAGAGUGCAGGAGAGGGAAGCGGAAUUCCUAGUGUAGCGGUGAAAUGCGUAGAUAUUAGGAGGAACACCAGUGGCGAAGGCGGCUUUCUGGACUGUAACUGACGCUGAGGCACGAAAGCGUGGGGAG